UGACAGAGUGAGGAAGGGGGUGACUAGUGACAGAGUGAGGAAGGGGGUGACACAGUGACAGAGUGAGGGAGGGGGUGACUGUCACAAGUCACCCCCUUCCCUCCCUCACUCUGUCACUAGUCACCCCUUCCUCACUUUGUCAC